rnacentral:lncRNA from 1 species
CUUCUUGUUUCAGUGCUCAACACUUACCACCACCCGAUGGUGAAAGAGGGUGUGGGUGUUAUAGAGGAUAGAAAUAGAACCCGGUAGAUGGCGUCACUCCGGUUGCCAGAGCCGAAGCCGGAGAAGAGAGAUGAGAGUAGAGCAGGUUCUUGUUUGCUUGAGUAUUUGAGGACAUGAGGUCCCUGUGUUUAUUUGCUCAGUGAGUGUGACCGAGAGAGGAUGAGAGUGAAAAUGAGAGGCUGUUUAGAAUUUGUAUGUGUGUAAAUUAAUAU